rnacentral:rRNA from 1 species
AGUGAACGCUGGCGGUAGGCCUAACACAUGCAAGUCGAACGGCAGCACAGUAAGAGCUUGCUCUUACGGGUGGCGAGUGGCGGACGGGUGAGGAAUACAUCGGAAUCUACUUUUUCGUGGGGGAUAACGUAGGGAAACUUACGCUAAUACCGCAUACGACCUACGGGUGAAAGCGGGGGAUCUUCGGACCUUGCGCGAUUGAAUGAGCCGAUGUCGGAUUAGCUAGUUGGCGGGGUAAAGGCCCACCAAGGCGACGAUCCGUAGCUGGUCUGAGAGGAUGAUCAGCCACACUGGAACUGAGACACGGUCCAGACUCCUACGGGAGGCAGCAGUGGGGAAUAUUGGACAAUGGGCGCAAGCCUGAUCCAGCCAUACCGCGUGGGUGAAGAAGGCCUUCGGGUUGUAAAGCCCUUUUGUUGGGAAAGAAAAGCAGCAGGUUAAUACCCCGCUGUUCUGACGGUACCCAAAGAAUAAGCACCGGCUAACCUCGUG